UGUAAUAGGGUUAAACUUGGAACAUCGCUUCUAUCGUAAAGUCUUAAAACUAGUUAGAAGGGAAUGAAGAAAACAUUCAAAUCUCCUAUUUGUAACGUCAAAAUUAACAUGACACGUAGUGCUCAAAAAUAUCAUCGAGUUUAAUUUUUAAAUGCCUUAGUUUAUUAGCAGCACAUUUUAUAGAACCGAAAAAAAGCUAUAUUCGUCACAGGAAUUGUUCAACGGUAAUUCA